rnacentral:tRNA from 1 species
GCGGCAGUGGCUCAGUGGUAAAGCCUCCGCUUCGCAUGCGGGGAGACCUGGAUUCGAUUCCCAGCUAUUUCU